rnacentral:lncRNA from 1 species
CGCUGUGGGCAUGUCGGCGAGUAAUGGUUACCGCCGCAAAUGACGCAACGGGAAGGCCUCCAAUUCCUCGACUGCUGUCGGGGGUACCGAGGGGGUUUCUUAGCAUUGGGCCGGCCCCCGGUGCCACCCGCCGUCCGCUUCUUGCCCUUUUCCUUUGCCUCGGCUACGGACUCGCGCUCCUCGCGUUCGUGAACAUAGCCCUGCUCCGCCCACAAAGCUCGAUCAAAUACUUCUGCGAAGGUCGGAAGCUUAAGGAUUUGCACGGCCCUAUGAAUCCCCGGCCGCAAUCCUCGUACGAACCAAUCUGCACGGUCCCGGUCAUCUCUAACAACAUCCGGG